UACGUAGGGUGCGAGCGUUGUCCGGAAUUAUUGGGCGUAAAGAGCUCGUAGGCGGUGUGUCGCGUCGGUCGUGAAAACUUGGGGCUUAACUCUGAGCUUGCGGUCGAUACGGGCAUCACUUGAGUUCGGCAGGGGAGACUGGAAUUCCUGGUGUAGCGGUGAAAUGCGCAGAUAUCAGGAGGAACACCGGUGGCGAAGGCGGGUCUCUGGGCCGAUACUGACGCUGAGGAGCGAAAGCAUGGGGAGCGAACAGG
rnacentral:rRNA from 1 species